rnacentral:rRNA from 1 species
UGGGGAAUUUUGGACAAUGGGCGAAAGCCUGAUCCAGCAAUGCCGCGUGUGUGAAGAAGGCCUUCGGGUUGUAAAGCACUUUUGUCCGGAAAGAAAUCCUUGGCUCUAAUACAGUCGGGGGAUGACGGUACCGGAAGAAUAAGCACCGGCUAACUACGUGCCAGCAGCCGCGGUAAUACGUAGGGUGCAAGCGUUAAUCGGAAUUACUGGGCGUAAAGCGUGCGCAGGCGGUUUGCUAAGACCGAUGUGAAAUCCCCGGGCUCAACCUGGGAACUGCAUUGGUGACUGGCAGGCUAGAGUAUGGCAGAGGGGGGUAGAAUUCCACGUGUAGCAGUGAAAUGCGUAGAGAUGUGGAGGAAUACCGAUGGCGAAGGCAGCCCCCUGGGCCAAUACUGACGCUCAUGCACGAAAGCGUGGGGAGCAAACAGGAUUAGAUACCCUGGUAGUCCACGCCCUAAACGAUGUCAACUAGUUGUUGGGGACUUCAUUUCCUUAGUAACGUAGCUAACGCGUGAAGUUGACCGCCUGGGGAGUACGGUCGCAA